UACAGGGGGGGCAAGCGUUGUUCGGAAUUACUGGGCGUAAAGGGUUCGUAGGUGGCUUGCUAAGUCACACGUGAAAUCCCUCAGCUUAACUGGGGAACUGCGUGUGAAACUGGCGAGCUUGAGGGUAGGAGAGGAAUGCGGAAUUCCAGGUGUAGCGGUGAAAUGCGUAGAUAUCUGGAGGAACACCGGUGGCGAAGGCGGCAUUCUGGCUUAUAACUGACGCUGAGGCGCGAAAGCGUGGGGAGCAAACAGG
rnacentral:rRNA from 1 species